rnacentral:rRNA from 1 species
GACAGAGGGUGCAAACGUUGUUCGGAAUUACUGGGCGUAAAGCGCGUGUAGGCGGUCCGGUAAGUCCGCUGUGAAAGUCGGGGGCUCAACCCUCGAAAGCCGGUGGAUACUGUCGGGCUAGAGUACGGAAGAGGCGAGUGGAAUUCCUGGUGUAGCGGUGAAAUGCGCAGAUAUCAGGAGGAUCACCAAUUGCGAAGGCAGCUCGCUGGGACGUUACUGACGCUGAGACGCGAAAGCGUGGGGAGCAAACAGG